UGUCCAUUACAUCUUUGGUUGACCCGCUGCAUCUCUGGUAGUAGUUAGGUCGUGACUCCACCGGACAUUGAUGGAUAUGAACUGGACAAUUAAAGGAAAAGAAACACAUGAGUUCCGAUUAAAACGCAUAACAACGCAUAGGCACCGUACACUAAGCGGACUCCAUAUCCCUUUCAAGUUUUGAACAUGCUCAAAACUUUCCGCCGGAUAGACCGAACUUCGCCGGACAAGGAACGCGUUGGCGGAAAGAGAAACGGACCAAAAACGCAAAGGAACGGAGACAAACGAAUUGACAAUUUUGUUAUCCGUUUGACGUCCGUUAGCGUUAUCGGUGUUCCACCUUACCGGAUAAUGUAAACGGACGUCGAACGGGCAAAAGUAAUUGUGACAUAAUGGUGUCCGUUGGUAUCCGUUGAUGAAAUCGUUCCCAACGCUGCUCGGGGUUCCUGCGAUUGGUGUAGGAAGCGUGUAAAACGCUUAAUAACCGCACGAUUACUGGACAUGCAUUAGUGGUCGAUUAACGGGCCGGGUUAAGGUAGUACUCUACAUCGUCAUAAUGGCUGACUUCCUUUAAAAACAUGGAAGACAAAAUCGAUAUCAGCAAUAUUUGACUUUUCCUUUUCCAUUUAAAUACCUAGCUGAGUAGCUCAGUAGGUUAGAAUACCGACUGCUGAACUGUAGGUCGCAGGUUCGAGUCCAGCAGGGGUUUUAAAUUUUUUUCAGAUUACCUUCUACUAAAACUGUAUUUUUUGACAAAAUAAAGUAAAUUUGAAAAUUGUCAAAUUCAAAAUAUUUUUGUACAUAUCCUACACUUUUCAUCUACAUCAAAUUUCUCUGGUGUAGCAUAACUCCUUAAACUCGUGGGACUCGAAAGAAACUUUCAACGUGUUUGCGAGUCACUAACAAAACGUAUAUAAAUCGAAAGUGACAUAUGUCCAUGAUGCCAGUCUCCAAAAGGAAGGUCUACCGGCAGGGCACGGGGAAGGGCUACACGAUUCCCAUCUCUUCUGACAAAGCUGGGGAAGAGCAGACCGCCAAAGAUUCACAGGUAGAAACCCUGUCUGAAUCUGGAGAUAUUCCCUAAGGUUAUCUCUAUUAACGGGUAGUACCGUCUGAAUAACAGAGAAAAACCAGGUUAAACGAAACUGAUAUAACGUUCUUUCAACUUUAGACGAACGGACUUGUACCAGUCCCGUGGACCUCCAUUUUACAACCGUUAAUCGCCACGUUCAUGCGGGGUUUUUUUUGUUUUUGUCUGUAGACAUGCGGUUGGUGUCCUCUACAUCUUCGGUUGACCGGCUGCAUGCCCGUGACUUACUUACGUCCACCGGUUAUCAACGGAUGCGAGCUGGACAAGUACAGGAAAAGAAACGCAUGAGUUCCUAUUAAAACGUAUAACAACGCAUAGCUAACAUACGUAAAGCAAACUCCAUGCUCCGGAGGUGUCCGUUACAAGUUUUGAACAUGCCCAUAACUUUCCGCCGAAUAGACCGGACUUCGCCGGACAAGGAACGCGUUGGCCGAAAGAGAAACGGACAAGAAACGCAAAGGAACGGAGACGAAAUUAUUGAAAAUUUGGUUAUCCAUUUGACGUCUGUUAGCUUUAUCCGGUGAGGUGUGGCUCUUGCUUUGGACUGAAAAAUCGCAAAUAGCUAUUAAAAGAUGUACUUGGAUAUGGUCGAAAAAUGACGUAUGACGUUAGGCCUGUAAUAACUUUAUUUCAGGUUCAUUAUUAAAGAUGGUUGUCAGAGAACAAUUGUCUCCCUUUGUUUUGCAGCUACAUGUUUAAUGUCUGUAAUUGAAAUGUAUAGUCCCGAUAUAGGGUCUGUAAGUCUCGUCAUGUGAUUGCCGAGAUUUAACGAGAUUAUUGACUUCCGGGUACAUCAACAUCUCAGAUUGCACUGUGUAGAGAGUGGUAUACAUAGAUAUAGCGGUAUCAAUCGAUUAUGAGGAGGUUUUAACGAGAUAAACAUGGGAAUUGAACCAUUAGUGGAGUCGUCGAGGAUUCUUUGCUUCGUGUUUGACGAAUUACGUGUAAUAACCGCCAGUGUACAAGCAUCGACGAGGGUACGUCUUGCAGAUAAAGAGCAGAUAUGCCUUGAAUCUGAGGAUAAAGGUGUUGUGCACGUGCAUUCAUCAUUUAUGUGGAUGUCUGAUGCCAGUAUACCCAUAAUGGGGCAGUAUAAGUGUCGAUCUUCAUAUGGCAGCAAAUUUUCAAAGACAGAUAUAAGAAGGCAAAUAAAACUGUUCAAUGUAAAAUACGCCAGUAGUUGGAUAAAACAUCCAAAGCGGCACAGUCAAAGGUCACAACAACAAUGGAGGAAUUAACUGCAUGCAUCCUCAUUCCGCAGGGCAACAGGCCAUUUUCAGCAACCCCUGAAAUUCUUAAUUGAGGCUAAGUGCCCAUUUUCAGCUCGAACAAUGACAAUUAAAGAGGCCUGUGCAAAUGUUGGGAUUUCCCUCUUGAAUGUGAUGCAAGGGAUGGUUCGCUGCACCUCAAAACAAAAUAUGAAUAUUGGCAUCAGAUUCAAGGACAACAACACCUGAAAGACACCCAAUGCUGUGAUUGCUAGCGUGGAUUCCUAGUGACACUCAAAUAAUUCACAUUGACAAAGAUGUAUUAUGGUCAACAAACUUUUUAAGCGUGAUAGAGUUUAAUUAUAAUAAUGAGGUAUAUUUGCAGUCUAAAACACACACACAUAACCACAUGUACAUACUUUAUUAUGAUAUCAGUGGUGCAUCUAUCAAAGUUAUGUAAUUACAUAUAUAUUUAAUGAAUAAACAUUAUAGACAG